UUGGGAAUGCCUAUUUUUCUGU
rnacentral:siRNA from 1 species